rnacentral:rRNA from 1 species
UACGUAGGGGGCAAGCGUUGUCCGGAAUCAUUGGGCGUAAAGCGCGCGUAGGCGGCCCUGUAAGUCCGUUGUGAAAGUCAAAGGCUCAACCUUUGAAAGCCGAUGGAUACUGCAGGGCUAGAGUCCGGAAGAGGCGAGUGGAAUUCCUGGUGUAGCGGUGGAAUGCGCAGAUAUCAGGAGGAACACCAAUAGCGAAGGCAGCUCGCUUGGACGGUACUGACGCUAAGGCGCGAAAGCGUGGGGAGCGAACAGG